GUCUGACAUGGCCCGACGGUGGCAAGUCUUGCCCCGACGUACGGCCGUGGAGCCAUGAC
rfam:Pseudomonas alkylphenolica strain KL28 chromosome, complete genome.